CAAUUUCUCCCUUUCUGUUUACUAUAGUGAUGGAGUACCUCAGCAGAGCCCUUUAUGAACUUAAAAAGAAUUCUGAUUUCUCAUUUCAUCCUGGCUGCAAGAAGUUGGGUGUUACUCAUCUCAGUUUUGCAGAUGAUUUGCUGCUGUUUGCUAGAGAAGACCUGAAGACUGUGUCUACUAUGUUUAAAUCUCUAUUUCAUUUCACUCCUCCUCACUGUUGUUUGCUAGAGGAGACCUGAAGACUGUGUCUACUAUGUUUAAAUAUCUAUCUCAUUUCACUGAGGCAUCUGGUCUGAAUGCUAAUCUAAACAAAAGUUCUGUCUAUUUUGGUGGUGUUCCUUCUAAUAUUCAGUAGCAAAUUGUAACUCACCUUGGUUAUGCUUAUGGGGAAUUACCUUUUAAAUACCUGGGAGUUUCACUAUCAACUAAGAAGAUGUCUUUGCUGCAGUGACAACCAUUGGUAGAUAAAGUUACUGCCAGGAUAACUUCUUGGACUGCCAGAAAGUUGUCCUAUGCAGGCAGAAUUCAACUGGUGCAAACAGUAACUUUUNN
rnacentral:lncRNA from 1 species